CCUACGGGAGGCAGCAGUGGGGAAUAUUGCACAAUGGGGGAAACCCUGAUGCAGCGACGCCGCGUGAGUGAAGAAGUAUUUCGGUAUUUAAAGCUCUAUCAGCAGGGAAGAAAAUGACGGUACCUGAUUCAGAAGCCCCGGCUAACGACGUGCCAGCAGCCGGGGUACUACGGAGGGGGCAAGCGUAAUACGGAUUUACUGGGUGUAAAGGGGGCGUAGACGGCAGCACAAGUGUGGAGUGAAAUGCCGGGGCUUAACCCCGGAAGUGCUUUGGAAACUGUGCAGCUAGAGUGCAGGAGAGGUAAGUGGAAUGCCUAGUGUAGCGGUGAAAUGCGUAGAUAUCAGGAGGAACACCAGUGGCGAAGGCGGCUUACUGGACCAUAACUGACGUUGAGGCUCGAAAGCGUGGGGAGCGAACAGGAUUAGAUACCCGGGUAGUC
rnacentral:rRNA from 1 species